GAUGUAAACAAGGGAUGAGUUUUUACUAUAUAGAGUGAUCAAAUAAGUUUUUGUUUGUUGCUUGCAAUGGAGAAAAAGUAUGGCUAAAACUUUAAUGUUUAUUUAUAUUGUGAUUCUCCUUACUUGUGUACUUGCUGUUAUUGACAUCAAUGCAUUUUCUUUUCCAUGCAAGACUAACUCUGAUUGUCCAUCUUAUUUAUGCCACUAUCCUAAAAAUCCAGAGUGCGUUGAACGUGAAUGCAUAUGUUGGUAACCAUUACAGUCAAGUUUGAUAUUCCCUCCGUCCGAAAAUACUUUGGAUGGAGAUUGCUCCAAGAUAAACUACCAAUGUGUGUAGAGUUUUGGAAUAGAGGGGUUUUCUGUGAUGUGCAUCAACAAUGUUUUGUGAUGUGUUUUAGCAAAAGUCGAAUAUGUCAAACAAUUGUUCACAAGCUGCAUAAAGAAGUUGGAAUUUGGUUGGGUUGGAAUGCACUAGGUUGGGGAUAUGAAAGAAAGUGUCUCAUUUGAUUUGGUUAACAGUGGCGUGGUGAAGUUAAUUUAUUUCUAGGGACGUUACUUAGAAACAAAAACAUUGUAUUCUCACAUUGAUGGAAUAAUUCACUCUCUUGCUUUCGAUGUGUAUCAGAUUGGCCUUUAAUUUGUUUA